rnacentral:rRNA from 1 species
UACGUAGGGUGCAAGCGUUGUCCGGAAUUAUUGGGCGUAAAGGGUGCGUAGGCGGGCUAUUAAGUCAGUGGUGAAAGCCCCAGCUUAACUUGGGAACUGCCAUUGAUACUGAUGGUCUUGAGUACAUUUGAGGUGGGCGGAAUGUGUCAUGUAGCGGUGAAAUGCUUAGAUAUGACACAGAACACCGAUUGCGAAGGCAGCUCACUAAACUGUAACUGACGCUGAGGCACGAAAGCGUGGGGAGCAAACAGG